UACGGAGGGGGCUAGCGUUGUUCGGAAUUACUGGGCGUAAAGCGCACGUAGGCGGCUUUGUAAGUUAGAGGUGAAAGCCCGGGGCUCAACUCCGGAAUUGCCUUUAAGACUGCAUCGCUAGAAUUGUGGAGAGGUAAGUGGAAUUCCGAGUGUAGAGGUGAAAUUCGUAGAUAUCGGGAGGAACACCAGAGGCGAAGGCGGCGCACUGGACAGCAACUGACACUCAA
rnacentral:rRNA from 1 species